rnacentral:tRNA from 1 species
GCGGCCUGGGCGGGUUCGGCCGCGGGUUCGGGCACCGCGACGGGCGCAGGUUCGGGCCCGGCGGGUGGCGC